UACGUAGGGUGCGAGCGUUGUCCGGAAUUAUUGGGCGUAAAGAGCUCGUAGGCGGUUUGUCACGUCUGCUGUGAAAUCCCGAGGCUCAACCUCGGGCCUGCAGUGGGUACGGGCAGACUGGAGUGCGGUAGGGGAGAAUGGAAUUCCUGGUGUAGCGGUGGAAUGCGCAGAUAUCAGGAGGAACACCGAUGGCGAAGGCAGUUCUCUGGGCCGUAACUGACGCUGAGGAGCGAAAGCGUGGGGAGCGAAC
rnacentral:rRNA from 1 species